AUGAUGCAGUGGGUGCUACUUCUGUUCUUGCUCUUGCUGUGCCUUCAGUUAGGCUCCAGCCAGACGAACCCCCAAGAUGUUGCCGCACUUCAAGCACUGAUGAAGAAUUGGCGGAAUCAACCGCAAAGCUGGACAGGAUCCGAUCCCUGCAAACCCUGGGAUGGAAUUUCCUGUUCCAGCGGGAGAGUGACAGAAAUGAGAUUAUCGAGCAUGAAUGUUGCAGGUACAUUAAGCAAUGCCAUAGAUCAACUCUCCGCUUUGACGUAUCUGGAUCUGUCUAACAAUCCAAGUCUUGGAGGUUCACUUACCCCAAAUAUUGGAAAUCUGAAGCAGCUCACCAUUCUGAAUUUACUUGGAUGCAGCUUCACUGGUAACAUCCCACAAGAGAUAGGCAACUUAAGACAGCUCACAUUCCUGGCCCUAAACAUGAAUCAAUUCACUGGCAGAAUACCCCCAGAACUUGGCCUUCUCACAAAUCUCUCUUGGUUGGACUUGUCGGCCAAUCAAUUGUCAGGACAAAUCCCAGUUUCGAGAGGUUCAGACCCGGGGUUGGAUAAACUUGUCGCCACAAAGCAUUUCCAUUUUAGCGAGAACCAGUUGACAGGCCCAAUGGACAAAAGACUUUUCAAUGCCAAUAUGAACCUCGUACAUGUCCUAUUUGACAACAAUAAACUUGAUGGACCAAUCCCCCCAUCCCUUGGGCUUGUCAAAACACUUCAAAUUAUCCGACUAGACCAUAACCAAUUCAAAGGUGUGGUACCUGAUAGUAUCGGUAACCUGACUAGCCUGAUGGAACUGAGCUUAGCAAGUAACCAAUUGAGCGGGGCAGUGCCAGACCUCACCAAUGCAACUAAUCUCACUUAUGUGGACAUGAGCAACAAUGCUUUUGCAAGCUCAGGAGCACCAAGAUGGUUUUCGACGUCGACGGCCCUGAACACCUUAUUUAUGGAUGGUAAUGGCCUUAAUGGGACAAUACCCAACGCUCUUUUCAGCCUCCCACAGAUGCAGAGAAUAUCACUAGCUAAGAAUACUCUUGGAGGCUCACUGACUAUGACUGGUAAAAUCAGCUCAAAACUGCGGGUUGUUAAUUUGACAAAUAAUCAAAUAAUCGAUACUAAUAACGUUGACCCAAGCUACACUGGUAGCCUAAUACUAACAGGGAAUCCUGCAUGCUUAGAAAAUAUCAAUUUCUGCACACUCAAGGAAAAACGGCAAGUGGCAUACUCUACUAGCCCAGGCCCCUGUGGUGCUAUUUCCUGCCCCAUUGGUCAGUUACCAAAUCCAGAAACUUCACAGAACUGCGCUUGCACUACCCCCUUCGAGGGUGUGAUGAACUUCCAAGCACCUGCCUUCUCUGACAUGACAAGCCCCGAGUCAUUCCAACAAUUGGAGUCGACGCUUAUACAGAACCUUAGCCUAGCUCCAAGAUCAGUUGCACUUUCCGAAGUUGACUUCAGCCCAGGAGCUCCUCUAAAAUUCAGAUUGAAGUUUUUUCCAGUCAGUGAAAUGGGCUUCAAUCGCUCAGAAGUUAUAAGAAUCAGUUCUUCUUUGGCCAACCAAAUUUAUAAAGCUCCAACUCAAUUUGGACCAUAUUACUUCACAGCAAUCCCAUACUUUGCAAUCCCAAGCGGUAAAAAAUCCUCAAUGCGCAAAGGUGUAAUAAUUGGAAUAGCAAUUGCUGGCUUUGUCCUUAUUGUCGGUCUUGUUCUGGUAGCAAUAUAUGCUCUACGGCAGAAGAAAAUAGCCAAGGAGGCAGUAGAGCGGACUACCAAUCCAUUUGCAUCAUGGGGAGCAGGUGGUAAAGAUAACGGAGACGUACCACAAUUGAAAGGAGCAAGAUAUUUUGUAUUUGAGGAACUGAAGAAAUGCACCAAUAAUUUCUCAGAAACUCAUGAGAUAGGAUCUGGAGGAUAUGGAAAGGUUUACAAAGGAAAGAUUGCAAAUGGACAAAUAGCUGCAAUAAAACGCGCACAGCAAGGAUCCAUGCAAGGUGCAGCUGAGUUCAAGAAUGAGAUUGAACUCCUGUCCAGAGUGCAUCACAAGAACCUAGUGAGCUUAGUAGGUUUCUGCUAUGAACAAGGGGAGCAGAUGUUGGUUUAUGAGUAUAUUUCCAAUGGGACACUCAGGGACAACUUGAUGGGUAAAGGAGGGAUACAGUUGGAUUGGAUGAAGCGACUUAAGAUCGCAAUUGGGUCUGCUAAAGGCCUGGCAUACCUUCAUGAACUUGCUAAUCCACCAAUUAUUCACAGAGAUAUAAAAUCAACCAAUAUACUUUUGGACGAAAGUUUAACUGCAAAGGUAGCUGAUUUUGGUCUUUCGAAGCUAGUGUCUGACACACAAAAGGGACAUGUUUCUACCCAAGUGAAGGGAACAUUGGGUUAUUUGGAUCCUGAGUACUACAUGACUCAACAGCUCUCCGAGAAGAGUGAUGUCUAUAGCUUCGGAGUUGUCAUGCUAGAGCUAUUAACUUCCAGGCAGCCCAUAGAGAAGGGUAAGUACAUUGUGCGUGAGAUCAGGACCGCAAUAGACCAGUAUGAUCAAGAGUACUAUGGCUUGAAGAGCCUAAUUGAUCCAGCAAUCAGGGAUUCAGCUAAAUUAGUUGGCUUCAGGAGAUUCGUUCAAUUGGCUAUGGAAUGUGUAGAAGAAUCUGCUGCUGACCGCCCGACAAUGAAUGAUGUGGUCAAGGAACUUGAGACCAUUUUACAGAAUGAAGGGGGUCCGUUGUUAAAUUCAGCAUCUUUGUCAACUGAACAUUUUGGAGAUGCAACAGGUAGAGGCCAAGAGGAACACUCUCCUAUGAAAGAUGACAGCAGCAGCAGCAGUGCUUUUGAUUACAAUAGUGUAUAUUCAUACUCAGCUGUUGAACCAAAGUAG
rnacentral:rRNA from 1 species